rnacentral:rRNA from 1 species
UACGGAGGGUGCGAGCGUUGUCCGGAAUCACUGGGCGUAAAGGGCGCGUAGGUGGCCUGUGGAAGUCUGCGGUGAAAGCCCGGCGCUCAACGCCGGGUCGGCCGUGGAUACUCUCGGGCUCGAGCUUACUAGAGGCAGAUGGAAUUCCGGGUGUAGCGGUGGAAUGCGUAGAGAUCCGGAAGAACACCGGUGGCGAAGGCGGUCUGCUGGGGUAAUGCUGACACUGAUGCGCGACAGCGCGAAAGCUAGGGGAGCGAACGGG